GCGCACGCCUGCUAAGCGUGUGUACCCCUUAAAAGGGUACCGAGGGUUCGAAUCCCUCUCUCUCCG
rnacentral:tRNA from 1 species